AUUAGUGGCUGCAGGACUGUACUUUACCCAGGGAAUUGAUAACCACCUUCAAUUGCUGACAGCAGUUCAUUUUCUCCAAGGUGAAGGAGUGAAUAUGAGCCCUUGUAUCCGAUUAUAAGCUCUUCACUCCUGGCUGAUCUGGAAGAGCUGAGCUGCUGGAAAAUCUAAAGAGAAGUGAGAUGAGCCAAGCAGGUGAAAUUUACAGGGUCUCUGCCUCUUUAGGCACAAAACGUGGAUACAAACUGAAACUUGUGAAGCGAGAGAGAUCUUAAAGGACAUUCAAUAGGACUUCUACAGUGUUCAUGACAGAAGCUGAAGAGCCAGUAGUGAAUGCAGCAAAGGCUUCCAAAUGAGAAAAGAACAGUCUUGCAGUUUUGACAAAGGUCAUCCUUCAGGCUUUGCUUAGGAAAGCCUGGGUUCUGACAGGAGGUCGAUGGGAAGGUCCAAGAAAGCAUAUGGUGCUGUAUGCUCACCUGGCAUGCCUGCUGUAUGAGUCUGAUCCUAUAGGCAGCCUCCCAGCAGCAUUCUUAUUCUCCUUACAAACAGGUGAGGAGCUGCUGUUAACUAUGUCCUUAUCAUCUGAGAUAAGGCACAGCACUCAGGAGUCAAAUGAGUCACAGUAACAUGGGAUCACACGCUGCCCACGGCUGUGU